CUCCGCCCAGCACGGCUGCUUUGGGGGCGCGGUUCUCCUCUCCGUCUGCAAGGAAUUACCUUCCCUGCCCGGUGCAACUGCCUUUGCGGCGGGAUGUUGCUACGGGCUGAUCGCCUCUCAGCUCUUCCGCCUUUAUAUGUAAUCGGUGUAAACAAUGUAUUAGGAAGGAGCAGAGAGAGUCUUGUACCUGAUUCGAACCCUAAAUGGUGGAGACAGAACAAAACUGGGCAGAAUUCUGACCCGUCACACAUCUGACAACAAAGGAGAUUAAAGAAACCAGAAGCUCAAGAUUCUUUUAGGAAAGCCUGCAGGGGGACAAAAGAACAUUCAAAACAUCCAAACAUGCUGAGACAAAAUGCUAAAUGGAUGUCUCACUGUAACACCAAACACAAUGUCAAAACCAUCUGUCAGGGAGAAAACUUGUCACCUGUUGAUAUGACUUGUCCCUUCCCUCUUCUCUGUCUGAGCCCUGGUCUACACUACGAGUUUAGGUCAAAUUUAGCAGUGUUAGAUCGAUUUAACCCUGCACCCGUCCACACAACAAAGCCAUUUUUGUCAACUUAAUGGGCUCGUAAAAUCGAUUUCUGUACUCCUCCGCAACGAGGGGAUUAGUGCUGAAAUCAACAUCACCGGGUCGAAUUGCCAAAAAAAUCUCCAAGGGCAUGAAGGACAGAGGCUAUCACAGAGACCCGCAGCAGUGCUGCGUGAAACUUAAGGAGCUUAGGCAAGCCUACCAAAAACCCCAAGAGGCAAAUGCCCGCUCAGGGUCAGAGCCCCAGACAUGCCACUUCUGUGAUGAGCUGCAUGCAAUCAGGGGGUGCCCCUACCACUGCCCCACCCCUCUACAUGGACUCCUGCAAGGGGGGAGCCUCACACAACAGGGAUGAGGAUUUUGGGGAGGUUGAAGAUAGCACACACCAGGCAAGCAGAGAAACCAUUCUCCCUGACAGCCAGGAACUGUUUAUCACCCUGGAUCCAAUAUCCUCCCAACCUGGGCUCCUGGACCUUGAAGGCGGAGAAGGCACCUCUGGAGAGUGAUAUCAUUCAUGGUCACCUGGUUGAAAUAGGGGAAUUUUAUUCAGAGGACAUUCAGAGGUGGCCGUUCCUGCUGGGCUGUUUGCCUGUGGCUGAAAAGAAAUCAUCCCUGCUGUUGCCACACGGUGGAGGGGAGCAGUGACGCGAUCAUCCCAGAGAAUUCUGCAGAUGUUUCAACACUGCGACUAGCAUCUCCGUCCCAGAGGCUAGUGCAGAUAAAAAGGUGAAAAAAAUGCACUCACGAUGAAAUGUUCUCUGAGCUCAUGCAGUCCACCCAAACUGAAAGAGCCCAGCAGAAUGCAUGGAGGCAGACAAUGGCAGAGUCCAGGAAAGCACAAAAUGAAUGCAAGGACAGAUGGCUGGAGCAACAGGAGAGGUGGCGGCAGCAUGAUGAAAGGAGGCAGGAUGCAAUGCUGAGGCUACUGGAGGAUCAAACUGAUAUGCUCUGCCAUAUGGUUGAGGUGCAGGAAAGGCACAGACCGCCACUGCAGACCCUGUGUAAUCAACCACCCUCCUCCCCAAGUUCCAUAGCCUCCUCACCCAGACGCCCAAGAAUGCAGGGGGGACCUCCGGGCACCCGACCACUCCACCCGAGGACUGCCCAAGCAACUGAAGGCUGGCAUUCAAUAAGUUUUGAAGUGCAGUGUGGCCUUGUCCUUCCCUCCUCCCCCACCCCUCCCGGGCUACCCUGACAGUUAUCCCCUUAUUUGUGUGAUGAAUUAAUAAAGAAUGCAUGAAUUUGAAACAACAAUGACUUUAUUGCCUCUGCAAGCGGUGAAGGAAGGGGGGAGGGGAGGGCGGUUGGUUUACAGGGAAGUAGAGUGAACCAAGGGGGCAGGUUUUCAUCAAGGAGAAACAAACAGAAUUGUCACACCGUAGCCUGGUC